rnacentral:rRNA from 1 species
CGUAGGGUCCGAGCGUUGUCCGGAAUUAUUGGGCGUAAAGGGCUCGUAGGCGGUUUGUCGCGUCGGGAGUGAAAACUCAGGGCUCAACCCUGAGCGUGCUUUCGAUACGGGCAGACUAGAGGUAUGCAGGGGAGAACGGAAUUCCUGGUGUAGCGGUGGAAUGCGCAGAUAUCAGGAGGAACACCGGUGGCGAAGGCGGUUCUCUGGGCAUUACCUGACGCUGAGGAGCGAAAGCAUGGGGAGCGAACAGGAUUAGAUACCCUGGUAGUCCAUGCCGUAAACGUUGGGCGCUAGGUGUGGGGACCUUCCACGGUCUCCGUGCCGCAGCUAACGCAUUAAGCGCCCCGCCUGGGGAGUACGGCCGCAAGGCUA